UAAGGAAUAUUGGUCAAUGGACGCAAGUCUGAACCAGCCAUGCCGCGUGGAGGAUUAAGGCCCUCUGGGUUGUAAACUCCUUUUAUCUGGGAAGAAAUGUACUUUUUCUUGAGUACUUGACGGUAUCAGAGGAAUAAGCACCGGCUAACUCCGUGCCAGCAGCCGCGGUAAUACGGAGGGUGCAAGCGUUAUCCGGAUUCACUGGGUUUAAAGGGUGCGUAGGUGGGCAGGUAAGUCAGUGGUGAAAUCUCCGGGCUUAACCCGGAAACUGCCGUUGAUACUAUUUGUCUUGAAUAUUGUGGAGGUAAGCCGAAUAUGUCAUGUAGCGGUGAAAUGCUUAGAUAUGACAUGGAACACCAAUUGCGAAGGCAGCUUACUAUGCGGUGAUUGACACUGAGGCACGAAAGCGUGGGUAGCAAACA
rnacentral:rRNA from 1 species